UACACUAUUGUCUGAAUUUUUUUAGAUUUUAUUUUUUUGUAAACUAGCUUAGCUUUAAAAAAAGGGGCAAACGAAAAUAUACCCAUUAUACAGCCAAAAUUAAAAAUGUAGGUUCAUGGAUUUGAACUAUCUUCAUAUCUUGUUGAUUUUUUGAUUGUAUUAAAAAAUUUGAAACAAUGGAUACUGCGUUAAAUAUAAUACGUAACCACUAUUUUAUUUACAAGGCAAGCUCAACAUUUGCAUUAAGGAAUAAAAAGUGUUCGGUGACAGACAGAGAUGUGUUCCAUCUGCACACUGUAUGACGUCCCAUGAAGUGCUGUUUCAGUGGUGUUGUAUUGGUCCUCACAUAAACAGAGUAAACACGCUCAGAAGAAGAAAAUCUAAGAUGCGUCUUGACAUCUGGGGCAAACAAAUUACACUCAGCUAAAAGAGACCCUAAACCUUUACGAAUUCCUGUGAAAAAGUACAAUGACAGAUGGACAGACAGGCAGGUGGACAAACGGUUGACAAAUCGAUCCAAAAUCCAAUAAGUUCGUUAUAAUUCUAAUUUGACUAUGUGGAAUGAAAUUGUAUGUGGAAUA